rnacentral:piRNA from 1 species
CACUGAGACUCUUACAUAUAAAAACAGACC